rnacentral:pre_miRNA from 1 species
AUAUUACUCCCUCCGUCCGAAAAUACUUGUCAUCAAAAUGGAUAAAAAGAGAUAUAUCUAGAACUAAAAUACAUCUAGAUACAUCCCCUUUUAUCUAUUUUGAUGACAAGUAUUUUCGGACGGAGGGAGUAGGUA